rnacentral:rRNA from 1 species
GUGAACGCUGGCGGUAGGCCUAACACAUGCAAGUCGAACGGCAGCACAGUAAGAGCUUGCUCUUACGGGUGGCGAGUGGAGGACGGGUGAGGAAUACAUCGGAAUCUACUUUUUCGUGGGGGAUAACGUAGGGAAACUUACGCUAAUACCGCAUACGACCUACGGGUGAAAGCAGGGGAUCUUCGGACCUUGCGCGAUUGAAUGAGCCGAUGUCGGAUUAGCUAGUUGGCGGGGUAAAGGCCCACCAAGGCGACGAUCCGUAGCUGGUCUGAGAGGAUGAUCAGCCACACUGGAACUGAGACACGGUCCAGACUCCUACGGGAGGCAGCAGUGGGGAAUAUUGGACAAUGGGCGCAAGCCUGAUCCAGCCAUACCGCGUGGGUGAAGAAGGCCUUCGGGUUGUAAAGCCCUUUUGUUGGGAAAGAAAAGCAGCAGGUUAAUACCCCGCUGUUCUGACGGUACCCAAAGAAUAAGCACCGGCUAACUUCGUG